UACCUGACUCCAUUCCGAACUCAGAAGUAAAAUGUCGUAACGCCGAUGGUAGUGUGGGGCUUCCCCAUGUGAGAGUAGGGCAU
rnacentral:rRNA from 1 species